rnacentral:rRNA from 1 species
AGUGAACGCUGGCGGUAGGCCUAACACAUGCAAGUCGAACGGCAGCACAGUAAGAGCUUGCUCUUACGGGUGGCGAGUGGCGGACGGGUGAGGAAUACAUCGGAAUCUACUUUUUCGUGGGGGAUAACGUAGGGAAACUUACGCUAAUACCGCAUACGACCUACGGGUGAAAGCAGGGGAUCUUCGGACCUUGCGCGACUGAAUGAGCCGAUGUCGGAUUAGCUAGUUGGCGGGGUAAAGGCCCACCAAGGCGACGAUCCGUAGCUGGUCUGAGAGGAUGAUCAGCCACACUGGAACUGAGACACGGUCCAGACUCCUACGGGAGGCAGCAGUGGGGAAUAUUGGACAAUGGGCGCAAGCCUGAUCCAGCCAUACCGCGUGGGUGAAGAAGGCCUUCGGAUUGUAAAACCCUUUUGUCGGGAAAGAAAAGCAGCAGGUUAAUACCCCGCUGUUCUGACGGUACCCAAAGAAUAAGCACCGGCUAACUUCGUG